rnacentral:rRNA from 1 species
GUCCGCACAGUAAACGAUGGAUACUCGCUGUUGGCGAUAUAUUGUCAGCGGCCAAGCGAAAGCAUUAAGUAUCCCACCUGGGGAGUACGCCGGCAACGGUGAAACUCAAAGGAAUUGACGGGGGCCCGCACAAGCGGAGGAACAUGUGGUUUAAUUCGAUGAUACGCGAGGAACCUUACCCGGGGCUUGAACUGCAGGAGACUUUUCCGGAAACGGAUUUUCCCUUCGGGGCUCCUGUGGAGGUGCUGCAUGGUUGUCGU